GAAUAUGAUGAGAAUUAUUGUCGCCCCAGUCUUAUGAGCUUUGUAACUUUGCAUAGCUCUAUGGUGAUAGACAUAUUUAAUAAUCUGAUUCACUUUCAUUUAUUCUUAUUUUUUUAUAUUUAUUUUAUUAAAUUUAUUAAAUUUGGAGUUGAUUUAUAUUGCAUUUGAUUGGUGUGAUGAUGUAUUUACCCAAUUUUUUCUGCACUGUUUGAAUGAUGAUCUAUAAUACAUGCACUACCAUCUGAUCUUUC
rnacentral:lncRNA from 1 species